UACUGCUAUCAGUGUUCGAUUAAGCCAUGCGAGUUAAAUGUUCUUCGUGAACAUGGCGUACUGCUCAGUAACACGUGGAUAAUCUGCCCUAAGGUCCGGCAUAACCCCGGGAAACUGGGGAUAAUACCGGAUAAACCAUAGAUACUGGAAUGUUCUGUGGUUAAAAGUUCCGGCGCCUUAGGAUGGAUCUGCGGCCUAUCAGGUAGUAGUGGGUGUAAAGUACCUACUAGCCGACGACGGGUACGGGUUGUGAGAGCAAGAGCCCGGAGAUGGAUUCUGAGACAUGAAUCCAGGCCCUACGGGGCGCAGCAGGCGCGAAAUCUUUACAAUGCGGGAAACCGCGAUAAGGGGACACUGAGUGCCAGCAUAUUAUGUUGGCUGUCCACCUGUAUAAAUCACAGGUGUUAGCAAGGGCCGGGCAAGACCGGUGCCAGCCGCCGCGGUAACACCGGCGGCCCGAGUGGUAGCCACUAUUAUUGGGUCUAAAGGGUCCGUAGCCGGUUUGAUCAGUCUUCCGGGAAAUCUGACAGCUCAACUGUUAGGCUUCCGGGAGAUACUG
rnacentral:rRNA from 1 species